GUGAGGAAUAUUGGUCAAUGGGCGAGAGCCUGAACCAGCCAAGUCGCGUGAAGGAAGAAGGAUCUAUGGUUCGUAAACUUCUUUUGCAGGGGAAUAAAGUGCAGGACGUGUCCUGUUUUGUAUGUACCCUGAGAAUAAGGAUCGGCUAACUCCGUGCCAGCAGCCGCGGUAAUACGGAGGAUCCGAGCGUUAUACGGAUUUAUUGGGUUUAAAGGGUGCGUAGGUGGUUUGAUAAGUCAGCGGUGAAAGUUUGCAGCUUAACUGUAAAAAUGCCGUUGAAACUGUCGGACUUGAGUGUAAAUGAGGUAGGCGGAAUGCGUGGUGUAGCGGUGAAAUGCAUAGAUAUCACGCAGAACUCCGAUUGCGAAGGCAGCUUACUAAGCUACAACUGACACUGAAGCACGAAAGCGUGGGGAUCAAACAGGAUUAGAAACCCCGGUAGUCC
rnacentral:rRNA from 1 species